GAAUCUUCCACAAUGGGGGCAACCCUGAUGGAGCAACGCCGCGUGAAGGAUGAAGGCCCUCGGGUCGUAAACUUCUUUUAUGAGUGAAGAAUAUGACGGUAACUCAUGAAUAAGCACCGGCUAACUACGUGCCAGCAGCCGCGGUCAUACGUAGGGUGCAAGCAUUAUCCGGAGUGACUGGGCGUAAAGAGUUGCGUAGGCGGUUAGUAAAGUGAAUAGUGAAACCUGGUGGCUCAACCAUACAGACUAUUAUUCAAACUCACUAACUCGAGAAUGGUAGAGGUAACUGGAAUUUCUUGUGUAGGAGUGAAAUCCGUAGAUAUAAGAAGGAACACCAAUGGCGUAGGCAGGUUACUGGACCAUUUCUGACGCUAAGGCACGAAAGCGUGGGGAGCGAAC
rnacentral:rRNA from 1 species